rnacentral:rRNA from 1 species
AUUGAACGCUGGCGGCAGGCCUAACACAUGCAAGUCGAACGGUAACAGGAAACAGCUUGCUGUUUCGCUGACGAGUGGCGGACGGGUGAGUAAUGUCUGGGAAACUGCCUGAUGGAGGGGGAUAACUACUGGAAACGGUAGCUAAUACCGCAUAACGUCGCAAGACCAAAGAGGGGGACCUUCGGGCCUCUUGCCAUCGGAUGUGCCCAGAUGGGAUUAGCUAGUAGGUGGGGUAACGGCUCACCUAGGCGACGAUCCCUAGCUGGUCUGAGAGGAUGACCAGCCACACUGGAACUGGGACACGGUCCAGACUCCUACGGGAGGCAGCAGUGGGGAAUAUUGCACAAUGGGCGCAAGCCUGAUGCAGCCAUGCCGCGUGUAUGAAGAAGGCCUUCGGGUUGUAAAGUACUUUCAGCGGGGAGGAAGGGAGUAAAGUUAAUACCUUUACUCAUUGACGUUACCCGCAGAAGAAGCACCGGCUAACUCCGUG